GGAUGUGAGGGCGAUCUGGUUGCGACAUCUGUCACCCCAUUGAUCACCAGGGUUGAUUCGGCUGAUCUGGCUGGCUAGGUGGGUGUCCCCUUCCUCCCUCACCGCUCCAUGUGCGUCCCUCCCGAAGCUGUGUGCUCGGUCGAAGAGGACGACCAUCCCCGCUAGAGGAGGACCGGUCUUCGGUCAAGGGUAUACAAGUAGCUGCGCUCCCCUGCUAGAACCUCCAAACAAGCUCUCAGCUUCAACAUCAGACCUUCCAAUGAACACCCAGGACUGAUCUCCUUUAGGAUGGACUGGUUGGAUCU
ensembl:misc_RNA 7SK 7SK RNA